AUUGAACGCUGGCGGCAGGCCUAACACAUGCAAGUCGAGCGAGCGGCGGACGGGUGAGUAAUGUAUGGGGACUGCCCGAUAGAGGGGGAUAACUACUGGCAACGGUAGCUAAUACCGCAUACUAUCGGAUAACCCAUAUGGGAUUAGCUAGUAGGUGGGGUAAAGGCUCACCUAGGCGACGAUCUCUAGCUGGUCUGAGAGGAUGAUCAGCAAAAAGGGAAUUGAGACACGGCCCAGACUCCGACGGAGGAAGCAGGGGGGAAUAUUGAAAAAUGGGCGCAAGCCUGAUGCAGCCAUGCCGCGUGUAUGAAGAAGGCCUUAGGGUUGUAAAGUACUUUCAGCGGGGAGGCGUUACCCGCAGAAGAAGCACCGGCUAACUCCGUGCCAGCCGCCGCGGUAAUAC
rnacentral:rRNA from 1 species